rnacentral:lncRNA from 1 species
AGUCUUUGCAUCUGUGCCAGACCCACCACACUUAGCAGAUGUAGCAGCAACUGCCAAAGGAUAAAGCAAGGAUCCAGGCCUGGGCUGGAAAUCUCACCUGUGGCUGGGAUCUAGAAGGAAAAGAUUCAGUACCUUUGAAAGGGUCACUAAAACCCAGACGACGGCUUCGGUUGCACAUAUAAAGUGCAGUCAGGUAGUAACUACGGGUGGAUUACUUUAGGAAGUAGGUGUUCCUCCAGCCUCCAUCCAGAGGAUAAUUGAAAUGCAAGUCAAGCUCUUAUCCACAGGCAACACCAAGGGAGGGGAUCCCCCCCGCCACCGCCCCAGUCACACCAUUUCAAUGUCUUACCGGUGGGUAGGAUUAAGAAAGUUAACCUAAGGGAUGCCUGUGUCUUUCAUGGGACCACUUACCCAGCACCGGGAGAGGUGAGUUCACUGCACUGCUCCCCUUUUGCAAUGGUUAUAGUUUGCUCUCUAACAAUUUCAAUAUGGCAUUUCCAAAAAAGUUUGAAAAUACCACUCAACAUAGUCUUAUCACUCUUCUCUUUUAAAACUUUUUUCCUUU